rnacentral:lncRNA from 1 species
UUGGCUCUUUUAAGUUGUGAUUUUGUUAUUUAGCUUGGGCUGGCUUUGAACACACAACCCUCCUGCUUCAGCCUCCUAAGUCCUGGGGUCACAAACGCGUAGCGUCUCUUCUUUCUUUCCCCUUCUAAUCUGUCUUCUUUCUCUUGAUGUUUGUGGAUUGCGCUGCUGUUCGUCUCACCCUUCCUAUACCCUUGAGUAAUCCACACUUCCUGUCUUGCUCUAUCAGGUGGAAACAACAGAUUAUUUCCAUCACAGAAAUCAGUAAAUGUAAAACCCAGCAUGCCCUUUUGCCUAGAUGAGUUGUUAAGUGUUUAGCUGCAACUCAGACAAAAACAGUAUGCAGAGAAACUCGCACUCUGCCUGCCAGUAGAAACUGACUACAGUGGAGAACAGAGCCAUGGGGGCUUCGGGCAGCACCGAAGAUGGGAAGGUCCUGGAAGGCCUUCAUAGGAGUGGAGCAGAGCUGGAAGCCAGGCUGCCAGGCCAGAAGCCAACUGCUGCAGUCCUGCUUGGAUAAGGAAGCUGGCGUUUGGGCUAGAGUGGCUGUGGAGGUGACUGUGAGAAAGUGGGUUUGAGCUGCACUGUCCUCAAUCUUCAUGCGGGUUCCGGGGCCUCUGUAGACAUCAAAGUCCUCAGAUGCCCAAGUCAUUAAAGGAUUCUGGCUCUUCCUUUGAAUAUUCUAGAGACUUCCACUCCUGCUACAAUGGUAAACGCUGCUACAUUGUGUCAUUUACUGAUAACAAAGGAGGAAGGUUGC